UACAGAGGUCUCAAGCGUUGUUCGGAUUCAUUGGGCGUAAAGGGUGCGUAGGCGGCGCGGUAAGUCGGGUGUGAAAUCCCCCAGCUCAACUGGGGAAUUGCGCCUGAAACUGCCGUACUCGAGGAAGGCAGAGGUACGCGGAACUUAGGGUGGAGCGGUGAAAUGCGUUGAUAUCCUAAGGAACACCGGUGGCGAAAGCGGCGUACUGGGUCUUAUCUGACGCUGAGGCACGAAAGCUAGGGUAGCGAACGGGG
rnacentral:rRNA from 1 species